CAGCCACUGGGUAUCAUGCAAGAUGCUGGAAGUACAGAGCUGCAUGACACGCAUGUUUAUUCUUUUCAGUAACCAACCUGUUAACAUGGCUUUUCUCCCCAAACUGUUCUUUCACAGAUUGCCAGCCAUCAUCUAACAAAUAAGUGGGUCUGAAUGCAAUUGCAAAACAACUUGCGAUAUGGAAAGGUAUUUGCAUCCACAGGAAGAUGGCAUGCCUCAAAACUGUCUCCCAACAGCAAUCGUUCUGAAGCAGGCAGCCUAAUCAGUAUGAAGUCUCAUUCUGUGUGCACUUAGGUUACAUAAAAUCAACUAUACAUGCUUUCCAAAGAAGCACAGAGGAAAAAUAAAUAAAAACUUAAAUUGUGCAAGC